rnacentral:rRNA from 1 species
UACGUAGGUGGCAAGCGUUGUCCGGAUUUACUGGGCGUAAAGGGCGUGCAGGCGGUUUGUUUAAGUGCAGAGUGAAAGCUCCCGGCUCAACUGGGAGAGGUCUUUGCAUACUGGGCAAACUCGAGGGAGGCAGAGGAAAGUGGAAUUCCCGGUGUAGUGGUGAUAUGCGUAGAUAUCGGGAGGAACACCUGUGGCGAAGGCGGCUUUCUGGGCCUUACCUGACGCUGAGACGCGGAAAAGCGUGGGGAGCGAACCGG